UACGUAGGGUGCGAGCGUUGUCCGGAAUUAUUGGGCGUAAAGGGCUCGUAGGCGGUUUGUCGCGUCGGGAGUGAAAACCCAGGGCUUAACCCUGGGCUGGCUUUCGAUACGGGUGGACUAGAGGUAUGCAGGGGAGAACGGAAUUCCUGGUGUAGCGGUGAAAUGCGCAGAUAUCAGGAGGAACACCGGUGGCGAAGGCGGUUCUCUGGGCAUUACCUGACGCUGAGGAGCGAAAGCGUGGGGAGCAAACAGG
rnacentral:rRNA from 1 species